GGAUUUGUGGCGCAUUGGUAGUGCGUCUGACUCCAGAUCAGAAUGUUGUGUGUUUGAUUCACAUCGGGUCCA
rnacentral:tRNA from 1 species